AGUGAACGCUGGCGGUAGGCCUAACACAUGCAAGUCGAACGGCAGCACAGUAAGAGCUUGCUCUUACGGGUGGCGAGUGGCGGACGGGUGAGGAAUACAUCGGAAUCUACUUUUUCGUGGGGGAUAACGUAGGGAAACUUACGCUAAUACCGCAUACGACCUACGGGUGAAAGCAGGGGAUCUUCGGACCUUUCGCGAUUGAAUGAGCCGAUGUCGGAUUAGCUAGUUGGCGGGGUAAAGGCCCACCAAGGCGACGAUCCGUAGCCGAUCUGAGAGGAUGAUCAGCCACACUGGAACUGAGACACGGUCCAGACUCCUACGGGAGGCAGCAGUGGGGAAUAUUGGGCAAUGGGCGAAAGCCUGAUCCAGCCAUACCGCGUGGGUGAAGAAGGCCUUCGGGUUGUAAAGCCCUUUUGUUGGGAAAGAAAAGCAGCAGGUUAAUACCCCGCUGUUCUGACGGUACCCAAAGAAUAAGCACCGGCUAACUUCGUG
rnacentral:rRNA from 1 species